CCUACGGGUGGCAGCAGUGAGGAAUAUUGGUCAAUGGGCGUAAGCCUGAACCAGCCAAGUCGCGUGAGGGAUGAAGGUUCUAUGGAUCGUAAACCUCUUUUAUAAAGGAAUAAAGUGAGGCACGUGUGCCUUUUUGUAUGUACUUUAUGAAUAAGGAUCGGCUAAUUCCGUGCCAGCAGCCGCGGUAAUACGGAGGUUACGAGCGUUAUCCGGAUUUAUUGGGUUUAAAGGGAGCGUAGAUGGGUUGUUAAGUCAGUUGUGAAAGUUUGCGGCUCAACCAUAGAAUUGCAAUUGGUACUGGCAGCCGUGAGUACAGUUAAGGUAUGCGGAAUUCGUGGUGUAGCGGUGAAAUGCUUAGAUAUCACGAAGAACUCCGAUUGCGAAGGCAGCCUACUAAACUGCCACUGACAUUGAUGCUCGAAAGUGUGGGUAUCAAACAGGAUUAGAUACCCUUGUAGUC
rnacentral:rRNA from 1 species